rnacentral:lncRNA from 13 species
UUUGUCUGGCGAACAAAAAGUGGAUGGUGACAAAGCAACGAGGAGAGGCUUUUGUUAAUUGGUGAAAAUAAUUAGGAUAGGCGCGUGGGUGAAUAAUCUCCAGGGAUUGGCAAACGAUAGCACACGCGAAUGUACUCCGGCAAACGCUAAAACAGGACUACUGGAAGACGAGUUGUUGAUGACAUUAAAAAAGCAAUUUCGUAAUACAGGAAUUUACGCUUAUACGUAGUGAAAAAUGGAACUACUGACAAUUUUUAAUGUUGGUAGCUUUGACUAGUUCAGACAAUCUAUGUACUGGAGAGAUCAUAAAAACAGCCAAGAGAUUAAUUUUGUAUUAUAAGAUGGGAGAGAGUUCAGUUUGCAGUCGUUCCAGGAAGAAAUCCGAGAUUUCGGGCUCGAGAAAUCGCUUUUGGUGAAUCGUGCAAGGCAAGGAGAUAUCAGGACAUAAACUUAUAUAUUAUACUUAUACCGUUUUAUUCAUUUUAUUAAUACUUAUCUUGUUUUAUUCACUCUUUACUUCACUAUCGACACUCGAUUAUCUACAGCGUUGUCAUCGAAUGUUAGUAAAGUAGAGAGUGAAUAAAACGGAGUACGUAAUAGUUUAAUCGGUUUAAUCUAUUCUAUUGUAUGUAUAUAAUUUAUGUAUAAUCACAUUUAUCGUAUUUAUUGUAUAUAAUAAUAUCUAAUUUAUAUACAUGUGUAUACAAUAUUUGGCAACAGAUGUGAGAAAAUGAAGAGAAUGUAAGGAAUUUAUAGAUGAUAAAAUAAGACAAAAAUAAAAUAUUACACAAUUGCGACCAAGGCAAUUUGUUUGUUAAUUAUAAAUAUUCACGUAAAAAGUGCCUAAAGCACAUGAACCCAUACAGCACAAAACUUGCAACAAUAUUGUUACAACGUUGCAGCAAUGUUGCAACAAUAUUUCUGCAGCUUUCUGUGCUGUAUGGGAAUAUACAU